rnacentral:rRNA from 1 species
UGAGCAACCUGCCCUUGACUCUGGAUAAGCCUGGGAAACUGGGUCUAAUACCGGAUAUGACUCCUCAUCGCAUGGUGGGGGGUGGAAAGCUUUAUUGUGGUUUUGGAUGGACUCGCGGCCUAUCAGCUUGUUGGUGAGGUAAUGGCUCACCAAGGCGACGACGGGUAGCUGGUCUGAGAGGACGGCCAGCCACAUUGGGACUGAGACACGGCCCAGACUCCUAGGAGG